GAUCACCUCCNUAGAGUUUGAUCCUGGCUCAGGACGAACGCUGGCGGCGUGCUUAACACAUGCAAGUCGAACGAUGAACCGCUUUCGGGCGGGGAUUAGUGGCGAACGGGUGAGUAACACGUGGGCAAUCUGCCCUGCACUCUGGGACAAGCCCUGGAAACGGGGUCUAAUACCGGAUAUGACCGUCUGCCGCAUGGUGGAUGGUGUAAAGCUCCGGCGGUGCAGGAUGAGCCCGCGGCCUAUCAGCUUGUUGGUGAGGUAGUGGCUCACCAAGGCGACGACGGGUAGCCGGCCUGAGAGGGCGACCGGCCACACUGGGACUGAGACACGGCCCAGACUCCUACGGGAGGCAGCAGUGGGGAAUAUUGCACAAUGGGCGAAAGCCUGAUGCAGCGACGCCGCGUGAGGGAUGACGGCCUUCGGGUUGUAAACCUCUUCAGCAGGAAGAAGCAAAGUACG
rnacentral:rRNA from 1 species